AUGAUCGCCGCUCAAAGGACGAUGCUCAGAGGACGAUGUCCUUCAGUCUGCGGGCACCGGGCGAGUCCUUGUCCCGGCGCUCCUGCAGCAGCGGGUUGCCCUCCUGCCCGCCGCCCUCGCUGUCCGGCCCCGGGGCUCUGCCUCGCUGGGCCGGGAAGGGCCACUGUUCCCAAAGGGCUCCCGGCAGUGCCCGGCUCCGUAGGGCAGCGCCGGCUUGGUGGCCAAGGGGCUCUUGAUGUGCAGGGGCGAGGUGACGGGGCUGACGGCCUCGCAGCCGUUGCCGGCCUCGCGCACGGCGCCGCUCACCUUGGGGCUGCACGCGGCCGAGUCCACCGUUCUUUUGGCCUUGGGGUUGGCGAGCCGCUCGUCGGCCGGGGGCUCGCCGCCCUCCUUGCCGAAGGUGGCGAAGGUCCUUUUUGUGCUGCAGUCUGCGUAAGGCUCCGCGUCCACCGCCGAGGCCUCGAUGGACAGGGCGAUGACGUUCCUGCCGUGCUCCGGGGACUUGGCGCGGCUGGGCACGGCGCCGCGCGGCAUCCAGCACCUGUCCGAGUGGCCCAGGAUGCGGCACUCCUCCCGGCAGUGGAACCCCUCGCUGGGCUCUGCGGGGAGCAAACACAAACACGGUCAGCGGGGCAGUGCCCACACACACACACCUCGAGCACAGGGGAUCCUACCAUGCACCUCCAACAGGUACCAGCCACCCCAAACAGGCUGGAGUUUCACUCCCAGCAGGUUGUGUGUCACCUGUCACCACCACAACAGUGGCCUGGAGAAGGAGUGAUGGCAGCCAAAUCCAUCACAACACGGCUGCCCGUGUGCCAAGCCCUCGGAGCCAGUAGUUCCUGGGUUUAGUGACCACUGUUAAAAGCCACCAUGUUUUAAGCUUGGUUUGACGUGACAUUUAAGCUUGACUUUUUGCAGAGAGGGGUAAGGAACAGAGGGAGGAAAGAAAAGGGGGAGGAGGGAAGGUUCUUUGUGGUUCUGCUGUAUAUGUGUUUUAACUUGUUGCUUAAUCCCCACUGACCUCUCACACAACAGAGGCUUUAUAAAUCUCCAAGAUUGUCCACUCCACUGAAGAUUAAAUGUGUCAUUUCCAGUGCUGGGGCUUUAUUCAUACAGGAGCAAUAAAGAUUCCUUCCUGGACUUGGGGCUGUCCUCCCAACACCACUUUACAGUGCUGAAAUAUGGACUGGUGGUUUAACCCUUUCCAAGGACCCUCCAUGACGAGCUCCAAGGGCUCCCAGGCGAGUGCAAACCUUGUUCUGGGGGCCUGCCUGCAUUCCUGCACUGCCAGUCACUGCCAGGGGACUGCACAGCCUCACCCCCACAUCACAGACACACAAACCAGGGCUCGGGGAAGCAGCCAGGCUCAGCCAAGUGCGAAGCUGGAAAUCAAAUUCAGCAGUUUCACCGUGCCCAGCCUUUGCUGAGCACCCGACCGUGGCUCCUGCCGAACACCGCAGCAUCCUGGCUGCUUUUCAGUCUUUUCCUUCAUUUGAUAAGGGCUUGCAAUUGCAGCUGGCCCUCACAAAGCACAGCCUUUCCCCACACAAAGACGUGGCUCCGUCCUGCCACGACCUGCACACGCUGGGAGCAGCACUGGAGCUCUGAUGCCAUCGGGCACACGAGCCCACGCCGGCUUUGAUGGAUCCAAGGUGCAGACUCAGCCUGGGUUUCCUUCCCAGCCCUCUGCAAACCAUUCAUUCUGCUGCUCUGUACAUCUGUGUGCAUAACCUCCGCUCCUCAGACACAUUGGUAUUUCCACCACAUGCGAGCACUAGGGCGGCUGAUAAAAAUUCUCAGCACAUAACACAAUGCACCAAAAUAUGAGCAGCUUAACACUUACAGAGAAUAAACGAGUAAAAGGCAGACCUCAAAAAAAAAGGGAAAAAAAAGAAAAAAAUGCACCAAGAAAGGGGUUUAAAAAAAAAAAAAAGAAGAAGCCAAUUAAUUGAAAAAUAUAUGGGUAAAACAUCAGCUUUUUCUCUACAUCAGAGCAGCAACCCAGUGAUGUGGAGCACAGGGCUGGGUGGAGGGGAGGAGGUCUGGGUUUUGGCAGCUGCCUUUACAGCAGCUUGAGAGGAGGAUGCCCUGAGCCCUCCACACAGAACAACCAGCACUGAGCUCUAAAAGCCCAUGAUCUUAUACUUUGAUUCUGUUAAUUUCAAGUACUUGAGCAAAAUAGAAAGGGAAAAAAAAGAAAAAUUGCCCAGAAAACGUUGCUGUCUCCCUAUUUAUCCACAGCUUAACUUCAAAAGGGUGCUACAGGCAUACAAAGUUGUGUAGUCUGGCUGAUAGCAGAGGACUUGGUGAUGGCUGGAGGGGCUACAGAAAUAUCUUGGCUUCUCAUCCCCGACGAGACACUGAUUUAUUGUGCUGUGUGACCUUGGGCGUGUUGCUGGAGCACACAUCGCUUCAGUCUCUCCACAAACAUGAAAGGCUGGGUCUGGGAGUGUGCUGGGCUGGCUGGUCCAGCACAGGAAGGCACAGGGCAGCAGCAGUACAACCCAGCAGCAGAGCUCAGCCCCAAAUCCACGGGACUGCCACGGCCAAGGCAAACCUCACCCAGAGGGAGCACAGGCACGUUCGUCUUGUCUUGACCCAUUUAUUGCAAACUGGUACAUUUUACAGCUAAAAACAAUUGGAGGGUUUCCAUGAUUACUGCAAGGAGAUAUUCCUCAAAGCCUAGAAGGCACCUGUGCUUUAAGAGCAGUUCAUUAAAGAGCACUGGCCAGGGAGAUGAUCAGCCUUGGACAUCAGGAUUGUCCAGAACCUGCAGCAGCUGAAAUGCAGGUAGGAAAGGAGCUGGAGAGCAUCACACUAAAUUGCACUGUUUCAAUCUUGUGCUUUAGGAAGGGAAUGUUAAAAGUCUCAAAGAGGCUGACAGAGAGAGGACACAAGUCACCACCAUCCACAGGCCUGAGACAACAGGCAGUUC
rnacentral:lncRNA from 1 species